CAUAUACUCCCUCCGUCCAACAAAAGAUUCUCAAAUUUGUCAAAAUUUGGAUGUAUCUAGACAUGACUUAGUGUAUAGAUGCAUUCAAAUUUAGUCAAAGUUGAGACAUUCUUUGUUGGACGGAGGAAGUACAUA
rfam:Brachypodium distachyon strain Bd21 chromosome 1, whole genome shotgun sequence.